AAGGGCUGGAAAACCACCUGUGGGUCUGCAUUUGGAUGUCAUGAAAGGUGACAAAUUGAUUCAGAAACUCUUGAUAGA